CCUACGGGGGGCAGCAGUGGGGAAUAUUGGACAAUGGGGGGAACCCUGAUCCAGCCAUGCCGCGUGUGUGAAGAAGGCCCUCGGGUUGUAAAGCACUUUCAGUGAGGAAGAACGCCUGGUGGUUAAUACCCAUCAGGAAAGACAUCACUCACAGAAGAAGCACCGGCUAACUCCGUGCCAGCAGCCGCGGUAAUACGGAGGGUGCGAGCGUUAAUCGGAAUUACUGGGCGUAAAGCGCGCGUAGGUGGCUUGAUAAGCCGGUUGUGAAAGCCCCGGGCCCAACCUGGGAACGGCAUCCGGAACUGUCAAGCUAGAGUGCAGGAGAGGAAGGUAGAAUUCCCGGUGUAGCGGUGAAAUGCGUAGAGAUCGGGAGGAAUACCAGUGGCGAAGGCGGCCUUCUGGACUGACACUGACACUGAGGUGCGAAAGCGUGGGUAGCAAACAGGAUUAGCUACCCCAGUAGUC
rnacentral:rRNA from 1 species